rnacentral:rRNA from 1 species
CCUACGGGAGGCAGCAGUGAGGAAUAUUGGUCAAUGGUCGGGAGACUGAACCAGCCAAGCCGCGUGAGGGAUGAAGGUACAGAGUAUCGUAAACCUCUUUUGUCAUGGAACAAAGGCGGGGACGUGUCCCCGGGUGCGUGUACCUGAAGAAAAAGCAUCGGCUAACUCCGUGCCAGCAGCCGCGGUAAUACGGAGGAUGCGAGCGUUAUCCGGAUUUAAUGGGUUUAAAGGGUGCGGAGGCGGGUCUUUAAGUCAGCUGUUAAAGGCACGGGCUCAACCCCCGCCCCGCCGUUGAAACUGGCAGUCUCGAGUUGGAGAGAAGUAUGCGGAAUGCGCGGUGUAGCGGUGAAAUGCAUAGAUAUCGCGCAGAACUCCGAUUGCGAAGGCAGCAUGCCGGCUCCACACUGACGCUGAGGCACGAAAGCGUGGGUAUCGAACAGGAUUAGAUACCCCAGUAGUC